rnacentral:rRNA from 1 species
UACAGAGACUGCAAGCGUUGUUCGGAUUCAUUGGGCGUAAAGGGUGCGUAGGCGGUCAGGCAAGUCGGAUGUGAAAUCCCAAAGCUUAACUUUGGAAGUGCAUCCGAAACUACCUGGCUAGAGGACUGGAGGGGAGACUGGAAUUCUCGGUGUAGCGGUGAAAUGCGUAGAUAUCGAGAGGAACACCAGUGGCGAAGGCGGGUCUCUGGACAGUUCCUGACGCUGAGGCACGAAAGCUAGGGUAGCAAACGGG